AGAUUGAACGCUGGCAGCAUGCCUAACACAUGCAAGUCGAACGCGAAAGGGGGCAAUCCUGAGUAGAGUGGCGGACGGGUGAGUAACGCAUCGGAAUUUACCCUGUCGUGGGGGAUAACCAAGGGAAACUUUGGCUAAUACCGCAUGAUCUGGAGACAGCAAAGCGGGGACCUGCAAGGGCCUCGCGCGAGUGGGGUGAGCCGAUGUCUGAUUAGCUUAGGUUGGUAAGGGUAAACGCCUACCAAGGCGACGAUCAGUAGCUGGUCUGAGAGGAUGAUCAGCCACACUGGGCCUGACGACACCGGCCCAGACCUCCUACGGGAGGCAGCGAGUGGGAAUAUUCGGACAAGUGGGGGCCAACCCUGAUCCGA
rnacentral:rRNA from 1 species